UAGCAUAUCAAUAAGCGGAGGAAAAGAAACCAACAGGGAUUGCCCCAGUAACGGCGAGUGAAGCGGCAACAGCUCAAAUUUGAAAUCUGGCCCCAGGCCCGAGUUGUAAUUUGCAGAGGAUGCUUUUGGCGCGGUGCCUUCCGAGUUCCCUGGAACGGGACGCCAUAGAGGGUGAGAGCCCCGUACGGUUGGACACCAAGUCUUUGUAAAGCUCCUUCGACGAGUCGAGUAGUUUGGGAAUGCUGCUCAAAAUGGGAGGUAUAUUUCUUCUAAAGCUAAAUAUUGGCCAGAGACCGAUAGCGCACAAGUAGAGUGAUCGAAAGAUGAAAAGCACUUUGAAAAGAGGGUUAAACAGCACGUGAAAUUGUUAAAAGGGAAGCGCUUAUGACCAGACUUGCGCCCGGUGAAUCACCCAGCUCUCGCGGCUGGGGCACUUUGCCGGCUCAGGCCAGCAUCAGCUCGCUGUCGGGGACAAAAGCUUCGGGAACGUAGCUCUCUUCGGGGAGUGUUAUAGCCCGUUGCAUAAUACCCUUCGGCGGGCUGAGGUACGCGCUCCGCAAGGAUGCUGGCGUAAUGGUCAUCAGCGACCCGUCUUGAAACACGGACCAAGGAGUCAACCUUAUGUGCGAGUGUUUGGGUGUUAAACCCCUACGCGUAAUGAAAGUGAACGCAGGUGAGAGCUUCGGCGCAUCAUCGACCGAUCCUGAUGUUCUCGGAUGGAUUUGAGUAAGAGCAUAUAGGGUUGGACCCGAAAGAAGGUGAACUAUGCGUGUAUAGGGUGAAGCCAGAGGAAACUCUGGUGGAGGCUCGCAGCGGUUCUGACGUGCAAAUCGAUCGUCAAAUAUGCGCAUGGGGGCGAAAGACUAAUCGAACCUUCUAGUAGCUGGUUUCCGC
rnacentral:rRNA from 1 species